CUUCGUUACGAUAACUAAUAAUAACAAAUUUAUUCAUAUUUCAAUCUUAUUUCUCAAUCUCAUCAUUAUUACGAAUGGACUUAUUAAACAUUCCUGCGAUAACAUUUUACAGUUCAACUUUUUUUUUUAAAUUAAUUUAUUAAUUUUUGUGACCGUGUGAUUAUAAAUAUAAAAAGAGAAUAUCUGACUAAAACCUACCAUUAACUCAUUUUUUCCAAAAAUGGACUUAUACCACUUUCAAAAAAAAAAACGGUUCAAUUAUUGCAUGGAUAAAAAAAUAAAGUACUUAUUAUAUUAUACAUUAAUAUAAUACAACGCUCUCACGAUCAUUUUUCUAAACAGUAGUUCUCUUUGCUCCGCGUAUCCUAUUAAUCAGCACACGUGGGAACAACACGAAUAAAAUAAGUUUAAGAACAAAAAGAACUUUCACCGCCUGCUCUUAACGCCGAAAACUUUUACCAUACAAAUAAUUAAUAAAAUCUCGAGGAAGAUCUUAAUGUUUGAGAACCGGCGCGUUUAAUUUUCCAGUAGCCAGUUUCCAGCCACAAGUUGUUGAAAAAGGAAAGUUUUCGCGGGAACAUGCUUUUUACAAGCGGCGAGCAAAAGAAUGAUCGCGAUAUAAUUGUGGUAAUUUCGUGGGCUCACGUUCACCUCGCUGGUAAAAUAGAAAACUAUCGGAUAUUACCGCGCGAGAUACUGUUCAUAAAGUAAGAUGGCUGUAAAAUAGUGCUUACGAGCUUGCUUUUGUCAUUGCGUUCCAAGUUCAACGAAACUAAUUUCUUUCUCCGACCUGUUAUCGAAUGCUCGCGCAAUCGAACAUGUUGCACUUUGUACAAAAAAGAGGGAAAGUCGGAAAGCAUAGAAUGAUGAAAUACAUUUGCGUGCGAUUGUUGUGCCUACGAAUAUUUCUAUCCACUGCGUUUGCUAUAUAAGUGUAUUGCUUUUUAUUCGUGUAAUUUGUUUCCAAAUAACAAAAAGGUGAUAGUGAUCUUGUAAUUUUUCUAUUCGAUAUGAAAAGGAAAGUCUAUUAAUGGCGCGAAAGAUUUCGUCGGCCUCGAAGAGGUGACGAAGGUCGAGUUUUUGGUGAUGCUGUUGGCCGAAACCCUGGGAACCUUUCUUCUCGUGCUGAUCGGGUGUGCAUCCUGCAUCACGUGGACCGCAAACAAUCCUCCAACGGUGGUACACAUAGCGUUCACGUUUGGCCUCGCGGUCGCCAGCUUAGCUCACGUAAGUCACGUGUUUCGUAUCACACCGUUCACGCUUCUGCUUUUGCAACGAUAAUAAUCAUCGUCAAAUUAAUCACAAAUUGUCAAGCGUAACGAUAUUUCUUUUUCUCGAAUUUCGAAUUUCUCGAGAAUAUUUCGAGGGCCAUGGCUCGAUAAUUUUAUCCAAAACGAAAAAUUAAUCUCCAAGUUAAUCGAUUUAACCAUUUGCAGCCCUUAAUUUUUAUUUUCAAUCUAUUGUCACGCCUCCAAGCGUAACGAUAUUUCUUUUUCUCGAAUUUCGAAUUUCUCGAGAAUAUUUCGAGAGC